AAGAUGUUCCUCGGAAGCUGCUGAGCCA
rnacentral:piRNA from 2 species